AUAUGAUAAGUAUAUAUAUAAUAUGCCAAAAUUAAACAAGUUUCUUAUGUGUUUUUUCACAAAGAAUAGCUUUGAAGAGUUGCAAUACCACGACCAAUACUUUUCUUUAAACAUUUACAGCACUGCUGGCGCCAAAUUCAAAAUGCCCUUAUUGAUUGCCCUUAAGCCGCCGACGCAGAUGCUCGAUUCGCAAUCAAAUCGGUUGCCAUGGCGAAUAAUUAACACUCACGGACUUCGUGGAGUGUGUGUGUGUCAAGGCCAGGAACCAAAUCACCCGUCACCGCCUGAUAAGUUCAACGAACAAGAUUCCCGGCGUCCGGGCUUGAUUGAAUCAAUUAAACGGAAUGGAUUGCGAUCCCGGAUUCUGCGCUGAAGUAAACACUGGGUGGCGCAAGGCAUAGACGACUGGUCAUCUUGUCGUCGGCAGCGGCACGCGCUUGUCUAGCCAGAAUGGGUUUUGCUUCAUUUUCAGGUUCACUGAUAGCGUGGACUCCGCAAAGGAGCAACGAGGGGUUCAACGACUGCGUUUCAGCCUGGUAUCUCUUAUCAAAGCGUUCCCUGAUAACGCCCCACCUCAACAAUCGGUGUUCUACUUCAGAAGCGCGUGCCUGAAUGAGUUAAUUGAUGGAUGGUUUGUUGUUGUUCUCAAAUAUAUUUCGACGUUUAUUGUAUAAAAUAUAGCUUAAAACUACUGAAAUGGCAACAAUA
rnacentral:sRNA from 1 species